rnacentral:tRNA from 1 species
GCGGAUGUGGUGAAAUGGUAGACACGCCAGACUUAGGAUCUGGUGCCGCAAGGUGUAGGAGUUCAAGUCUCCUCAUCCGCACCA